rnacentral:rRNA from 1 species
GUUAGGAAUCUUCCACAAUGGGGCAACCCUGAUGGAGCAACACCGCGUGCUGGAUGAAGGCCUUCGGGUCGUAAACAGCUUUUGUAUACGAAGAAUAUGACGGUAAUAUACGAAUAAGGGUCGGCUAACUACGUGCCAGCAGCCGCGGUCAUACGUAGGACCCAAGCGUUAUCCGGAGUGACUGGGCGUAAAGAGUUGCGUAGGCGGCUUAUUAAGCGAGUAGUGAAAUCUGGUGGCUCAACCAUCAACACAUUGCUCGAACUGAUAGGCUUGAGAAUGGUAGAGGUAGUUGGAAUUUCUUGUGUAGGAGUGAAAUCCGUAGAUAUAAGAAGGAACACCAAUGGCGUAGGCAGACUACUGGACCAUUUCUGACGCUGAGGCACGAAAGCGUGGGGAGCGAACCGGAUUAGAAACCCCAGUAGUCC